rnacentral:rRNA from 1 species
UACACAUGCAAGUCGAACGAUGAACCUCACUUGUGGGGGGAUUAGUGGCGAACGGGUGAGUAACACGUGAGUAACCUGCCCUUGACUCUGGGAUAAGCCUGGGAAACCGGGUCUAAUACUGGAUACGACCUUCUGGCGCAUGCCAUGUUGGUGGAAAGCUUUUGUGGUUUUGGAUGGACUCGCGGCCUAUCAGCUUGUUGGUGGGGUAAUGGCCUACCAAGGCGACGACGGGUAGCCGGCCUGAGAGGGUGACCGGCCACACUGGGACUGAGACACGGCCCAGACUCCUACGGGAGGCAGCAGUGGGGAAUAUUGCACAAUGGGCGCAAGCCUGAUGCAGCGACGCCGCGUGAGGGAUGAAGGCCUUCGGGUUGUAAACCUCUUUCAGUAGGGAAGAAGCCUGUCUUUUGGGUGGGUGACGGUACCUGCAGAAGAAGCGCCGGCUAACUACGUGCCAGCAGCCGCGGUAAUACGUAGGGCGCAAGCGUUAUCCGGAAUUAUUGGGCGUAAAGAGCUCGUAGGCGGUUUGUCGCGUCUGCCGUGAAAGUCCGGGGCUUAACUCCGGAUCUGCGGUGGGUACGGGCAGACUAGAGUGCAGUAGGGGAGACUGGAAUUCCUGGUGUAGCGGUGAAAUGCGCAGAUAUCAGGAGGAACACCGAUGGCGAAGGCAGGUCUCUGGGCUGUAACUGACGCUGAGGAGCGAAAGCAUGGGGAGCGAACAGGAUUAGAUACCCUGGUAGUCCAUGCCGUAAACGUUGGGCACUA